rnacentral:rRNA from 1 species
AUGGCUUGGUGGAAAAUAUGUGUAUCCAAUAAUCAAGGAGGAAUGGGUUUUCGUAAUAUCCACUGUUUCAAUUUGGCUAUGCUCGCUAAACAGGCUUGGCGCCUUAUCGAGAAUCCAGAUUAUCUCUAUGCUACUAUUCUGAGAGUCAAAUACUAUCCUCACGGUGAUUUGUUGAACACUAAUUUAAAGAAGGGUUCAUCUUUCACCUGGAAAAGUAUUAUGGCGGGUGUGAGCUCUCUGAAACGUGGCCACAUUUGGCAAGUGGGGAAUGGUGAGAAUAUUAACAUUUGGAAGGAUGUCGGGAUUCCAAAUUGUGCAAACCUAAAAAUUAUUACUCCAAGAAGAGGUCAAUUGUUAUCUAAGGUAGCAGACUUGAUUGACCCUAUUCUUAAUACUUGGGAUGAAGAUCUACUAAGGCAAACGUUGUGGCCUAUAGAUGUUCGUCGCUUGGAAUUUCACACAAAAUGGUAUGUUUUUGGUUUGGUCUUCUUAUUUUGUGGAAUGGGACCAUCAAUAUGGAAAUAA